ACCAGGACUAAACCAGGACUAAACCAGGACUAAACCAGGACUAAACCAGGACUAAACCAGGACUAAACCAGGACUGAACCAGGACUAAACCAGGACUAAACCAGGACUAAACCAGGACUAAACCAGGACUAGACCAGGACUAAACCAGGACUAAACCAGGACUAAACCAGGACUAAACCAGGACUAGACCAGGACUAAACCAGGACUAAACCAGGACUAAACCAGGACUAAACCAGGACUAAACCAGGACUAAACCAGGACUAAACCAGGACUAAACCAGGUCUGAACCAGGUCUGAACCAGGUCUGAACCAGGACUAAACCAGGACUAAACCAGGUCUGAACCAGGUCUGAACCAGGACUAAACCAGGACUAAACCAGGACUGAACCAG
ensembl:lncRNA